GAGUCUAUUAAUCUGCUGCUCAUUUUCGAAAAUGCCAUCAGCAUCUUUCCUGUAACAUGUAGAGGGCCCCCUCCUUUGGAAACUGCGGUGUGUGGCUGGCAGGUGCAAUUGUUUGACCAUUUCUGAGUAGCGCUCAUUUCUGCAGGCUUCUGCCAGUUUGGAGCUGUCACAAGCAAGGCUGCCGGGGGCCUCUUUGCUCCUUUAUGUUUGGACACCAAUGGUUGCUUUGCUGUAGGAAAGACGAGAUUGCUGGUGAGACAGCAGCCACUGCUCCCAGGCCCGAGAACAGGGGCAGCACCAAAGCUGGUCAGUGUUUCCUCCUUACAGUGUGAGGCAAACCGCAAGUCAUCGGCAUCACAGCAAAACGAAAACAGACACACAACAGAAGAAACCACGCUGGUGAGGUCAACAGGGUGGAAGAUAGACGAGACUAUACAGGGAGGCUCAGCUGUGCCUGACACACAACAGAGAUUCUCCAGGAACAGGAGAUGAAUGAAUACAAAAUCAAAUAGGU